CCAAGCAUUGUCAUGAGAGUGUCAGAUCGCAGCAAUGAACAUGCUCUGUUGGAUCAUGUUGUUCAUUUCUUUGAUCAGCAAAUUGGAUCAACAUACUUCUUAUGCAGAGUUGAGCCUAGAAUAACCUUUGUUGCCAUAUUUGAUAGUAAAAAAUCUGAGAAAGACAGUUAUAUCAGAGAUUUUAUAUAUGAUUUAGUAAUGCAACUAAGAUGCAAUAAAGUGUUUGCAAACCUAAAGCCCAAAUAGUUAGGGCAUCUCAUUAGAUUUCUGAAAUUUUGAAAUGUUUGGAAAAAGUAAUCAUAAAUCCUGUUUUAUAUUUAAAAAUUACAGUAGACCGUUAUAUUUCACGGUAGUUACGUUCCGGAAAAUGAUGUGUUAGGUAAAUCAAAUCCAUGUUAAACUGAAGAACUUAUUGGAAAAAUAAGGUUACAUUCCUAGGAGCCCCAAAAAAGGCAAACUACUUUUUUUUAGACCUCCAGAUCUUACAAAAAUAAAAGUGAAUAUGUAA